CGCGUCUCGGGCAGCAUGUCACUGAUGUCAGACGUGAAUCACGUGAUACAACUCCUCAGCGACUUGGUGUUGUUUUGCGCAUUCAGUACUUACUUCCUGUUGGGGCGCCGCCGAUCAGCAAACACUAAAAGGAAGGAUGGCGGCAUGGGUGACCAGAGUGGUGGUGACGGCGAUGAAGGAGGGCGGGCGACGUCCCUGUCAUAGCUAUGGAGGAAGCAUUCGCGAGGCGGGGGGCGGUAUGGGCAAGAGGGCGGUAGCGAAGGAGGAACAGUACUUCUGGGAGGAGGAAAGACGUCAGAUCGCACAACUUCGAGAGGAACUAAAGAAAGGUCGGUUAGACUCCAAGUUGCAAUGCAAGGAUCAGCUGGAGGAGAUGGUGAUACGGCAGAGGGAACAGAUAGCAGAGCACCAGCGACGGGUACAGUAUCACAAAGAAGAGAUAGAGAUGCACCACAAGGAAUAUGAACAUCAUCUUGAGAGAAUCGCUUACCACAAAGACAAGGAACAUAAGAUACGGGAAAAGAUGAACAAGCUAAAUGAGAAGGAGGAAGAACAUUGAAUGUUUAUCUAGGUUUCUCUUCGUUGUUGAUUAUGUAUUUAUUAAAAAAAAAAAAAGGUGCACGUUUUUAAGUAUGUUUUUCUUGGUUUAUCUUGCGUAGUAAUUAUGUACAGAAAAAAAAUGUUAUGUUAUUAAAAGGAAGAUGACCAAAUGAG